GGUUCGAUGGCGUAGUUGGUUAUCGCAUCUGUCUAACAUAAUAGGUGCUGCAUGUAGCACAGAAGGUCCCCAGUUCGAGCCUGGGUCGAAUCA